rnacentral:rRNA from 1 species
AGUCGAGCGGUAGAGAGAAGCUUGCUUCUCUUGAGAGCGGCGGACGGGUGAGUAAUGCCUAGGAAUCUGCCUGGUAGUGGGGGAUAACGUUCGGAAACGGACGCUAAUACCGCAUACGUCCUACGGGAGAAAGCAGGGGACCUUCGGGCCUUGCGCUAUCAGAUGAGCCUAGGUCGGAUUAGCUAGUUGGUGAGGUAAUGGCUCACCAAGGCGACGAUCCGUAACUGGUCUGAGAGGAUGAUCAGUCACACUGGAACUGAGACACGGUCCAGACUCCUACGGGAGGCAGCAGUGGGGAAUAUUGGACAAUGGGCGAAAGCCUGAUCCAGCCAUGCCGCGUGUGUGAAGAAGGUCUUCGGAUUGUAAAGCACUUUAAGUUGGGAGGAAGGGUUGUAGAUUAAUACUCUGCAAUUUUGACGUUACCGACAGAAUAAGCACCGGCUAACUCUGUGCCAGCAGCCGCGGUAAUACAGAGGGUGCAAGCGUUAAUCGGAAUUACUGGGCGUAAAGCGCGCGUAGGUGGUUUGUUAAGUUGGAUGUGAAAUCCCCGGGCUCAACCUGGGAACUGCAUUCAAAACUGACUGACUAGAGUAUGGUAGAGGGUGGUGGAAUUUCCUGUGUAGCGGUGAAAUGCGUAGAUAUAGGAAGGAACACCAGUGGCGAAGGCGACCACCUGGACUAAUACUGACACUGAGGUGCGAAAGCGUGGGGAGCAAACAGGAUUAGAUACCCUGGUAGUCCACGCCGUAA